UCAUGCAGAUGAUGCGUCACUUCCUAAGCUGUGGUUGGCUAAUGGCAGGUUUUAUCAGCAUGGACAUUGCUGGCACGAUAUUUAUGAUGCAAUAUGUCAGGCUCGUCGUCUAAUUUACAUCACGGGAUGGUCUGUUCAUCACCUUGUUCAGCUUGUGAGGGAUGAUCCUAAUGUGAAGCACAGUGUUUUGGGUGAAGUUUUGAAAGCCAAGUCUCAAGAAGGCGUGCGUGUCUUGCUCUUGGUGUGGGAUGAUCCUACAUCCACAAGCAUAUUAGGGUAUAAAACUGUAAGAAUUUUCUCUAUCCCAUGAUUUUUGUUUUACCAUUUAAGUUGCUAAAAGUGUGAAACAAUUUAUUGUCUGCUCUUUUAGUUAACAUUCUAUAUUUAGACAUGAGUAUCAGUUAUAUCAAAGUCACAUGCUCUAUAAUACAAGUUUGUGAUUUCUGUUAAUUUGAAACAAAUCAAAAGAUUAUGUUGCUUAGGGCUAUGGUCAAGAUUUUUAUGCCACUCUUUUUAUGACAUUCAGGGAGGUGUAAUGGGCACAAAUGAUGAAGAAACGCGCCGUUAUUUCAAGCAUUCAUCUGUUCAAGUGCUGCUGUGUCGUCGGAGUGCUGUGAAGGGUAGCUGGGCCAAAAAGAAGGUUUAAUCUCAUAUUACUUUCUCCUCAGACAUAUAAAGGAUCUCUUCCCUUAUAAAGUACUAUGAAAAUGUUUUCCUUGUUUGCAUUCUCUUGGAUUCGGAACAAAUAAUGGCCCAACUUUUCCUUUUCGCCAUCAGGAAACUGGAAAGAUCUAUUAUUCACAUCAUCAAAAGAGUGUGAUUAUAGAUGCCGAUGCAGGUCAAAACAGGAGAAAGAUCGUAUCCUUUGUUGGCGGCCUUGAUCUUUGCAAGGGAAGAUAUGAUACCCAGAAGCACUCCAUUUCUAGCACUCUGCAAACUGUUCACAAAGAUGAUUUUCAUCAGCCUAAUUUCGCAGUAAGUUGUUACUAUGUAUCCAUGUUUCCUUGUCAUUUUUAUAUGACAAUGAAGCAAGCAUUGACUAAAAGGAUAGACAGAGAAAUUAUCUCAACACCCCGAAUGUCUCUUUCUUGUCUCUAUCCUUUUGAACGUAUGUUUUUACCCCAAACAGGGGCCGAAUGCUGGUUGUCCAAGACAGCCAUGGCAUGAUCUACACUGUAAAAUUGAUGGUCCAGCAGCAUAUGAUGUAUUAACCAACUUUGAAGAACGUUGGUCAUCAAUGGCCUCAAAGCGCCACGGCCUUCAAAAAGUGAAAACUUCAUUUGAGGAUUGCUUACUCAAACUCGAAAGAAUCCCUGAUGUACUGGGGAUAGCUGAGGCUGCUGAGCAAGGUUUAAACGAUCCGGAGGGUUGGCAUGUUCAGGUAUGAAAAAAUUGCUUUACACAAACUGUUGCUUCCUUUUCGGGGCUAAAUUUACUUCAUGCUGUAGGUUUUCCGUUCCAUCGAUUCAAACUCUGUUAAAGGCUUCCCCAAGGAUCCUAAGGAGGCUUCAACCAAGGUAAGAUAUUAUUUCCUUUUCCCUUAUUCUAUUUGAUUAUAGGUUGUAUGUUGGUAGUAUGGCAUAACAACUUCAUUUCGUCGUGACAGAAUCUGGUAUGUGGGAAGAAUGUGCUGAUAGAUAUGAGUAUACAUACUGCUUACGUGAAAGCAAUUCGCGCUGCGCAACAUUUCAUUUACAUUGAGAAUCAGUUCUUCCUUGGAUCAUCAUACAAUUGGUCUAAUUACAAGGACUUGGGUGAGAAAUAAGCUGUUGAGUAGUCAAGUUUUAGGAUAACAUUUCCAUGUACAUCUGUAUUGUAGAAUUAAGUUAAUGAAGAUGGAAACUCUUUAAAUUUCAGGUGCAAACAACUUAAUUCCUAUGGAAAUCGCUCUCAAGGUCGCGAAUAAGAUCAGAGCACGGGAGAGGUUUGCCGUGUACAUUAUUGUUCCAAUGUGGCCGGAGGGCGUUCCUACAAGUAUUCGUAGUCAAAGUAUUCUCUUUUGGCAGGUGAACUAACUAAAUGUGCAUAUAAUAUAGUACUACCUUUUUAUACUAUACUNGCCUUGUCUUAAUAUAUUUCUUUUGGUAUUCUUAAUCUAAUCUGCUUUCAGAUAUAUUAAUUCAUCUCUCAUAUUGUGUUUAAUUUGUAUUUCAUUAAUAUUAGCAUUGCUGCUUAUAUGUUGAUCUUGUGAUACAUUCAAUCUUGAUCCCAUUUGUGUUCUUGAUUUGGUUAAUUUGUUUAUAGUCUUGUAUUGAUAUGUUAAUUGCUUAUAGUGAUAGAGCUAAUUCCAUUUCAAAUUUGAAAAAGAUCCCCCUUUUGUUAAGAUAGUUAGAAGGUGUUUGGCUAAGCUUAUAAGAUGCAGUUUCUUAAGAUUUUAUAUGUUGUCAAAGUGUUUGGAUAAUUGAGCUUAUAAGCUAGAAAGAGAAUAAGAGAAUUUUAGUUACAGAGAGAAAAUCGAAAAGAGAUGAAAUUAGAGUAAUAUAUAAUGAAAAUAAAAAAUCAUAGUUGAGUUAUUUUGUAAAAUGAGUGUUGCUUAUAAAAAAAUGAGAAAAUAAGUUGGGGUAGAGGAACUUAUUUUUUGGGGAGCUUAUAAGCUCUUAGAGUUUAAUUUUACAGCUUAUAAGCUCCUACAAUAGCUUAUUUUGCCAAACAUUUUGAAGUUGCUUAUAAACUCAGCCAAACACCCUCUUAGUUGGAAAGUAUAGAGGGAAAAACCACCAACAUGGCUCACUUAAGUUACUCUGAUUCAAUGUCUGGGAGCUCGCAGCAUGGCCAAGGCAUGCAGUUUCUACCAUUUAAGACCUCGACAGGGUCACGUAGGGCGUUGUUGUUGCAUGGGGAUUUGGAUAUUUGGGUGAGAGAGGCUAAGAAUCUCCCAAAUAUGGAUUUGUUCCACAAGAACUUGAGUGAUAUGUUUAGGUGGUUGUUUGGGAAGUUCUUGAGUAAAGUGGAAGGCACGGCGCCUGUCAAGCUCACGAGUGAUCCUUAUGUUACCAUUGCUGUCUCCAAUGCCGUGAUAGGCAGGACCUUCGUGAUUAGUAACAGCGAGAACCCUGUUUGGAGCCAGCAUUUCCAUCUGCCAGUCGCGCAUUAUGGUGCGGAGGUGCACUUUGUGGUUAAGGAUAGUGAUGUUGUGGGGUCUGAGAUCAUUGGUGCUGUCGGGAUCCCUGUGGAGCAUGUGAUCUCUGGUGUGCUAAUCGAGGGUACUUUUCCGUUACUUGCUGCAAAUGGGAAGCAGUGCAAUCCGGGGGCUGUUCUGACCCUCUCAAUUCAGUAUAUACCAAUGGAGAGGGUGCCCCUCUAUCAUGGUGGGGUAGGUGGGGAUCUCUCGUAUAAAGGUGUGCCCGGUACCUAUUUUCCUCUCCGGAGAGGGGGGAAGGUCACUCUGUAUCAGGAUGCUCAUGCAGAUGAUGCGUCACUUCCUAAGCUGUGGUUGGCUAAUGGCAGGUUUUAUCAGCAUGGACAUUGCUGGCACGAUAUUUAUGAUGCAAUAUGUCAGGCUCGUCGUCUAAUUUACAUCACGGGAUGGUCUGUUCAUCACCUUGUUCAGCUUGUGAGGGAUGAUCCUAAUGUGAAGCACAGUAUUUUGGGUGAAGUUUUGAAAGCCAAGUCUCAAGAAGGCGUGCGUGUCUUGC
rnacentral:lncRNA from 1 species